rnacentral:rRNA from 1 species
CCUACGGGUGGCUGCAGUGGGGAAUAUUGGACAAUGGGGGCAACCCUGAUCCAGCCAUGCCGCGUGUGUGAAGAAGGCCCUCGGGUUGUAAAGCACUUUCAGUGAGGAAGAACGCCUGGUGGUUAAUACCCAUCAGGAAAGACAUCACUCACAGAAGAAGCACCGGCUAACUCCGUGCCAGCAGCCGCGGUAAUACGGAGGGUGCGAGCGUUAAUCGGAAUUACUGGGCGUAAAGCGCGCGUAUGUGGCUUGAUAAGCCGGUUGUGAAAGCCCCGGGCUCAACCUGGGAACGGCAUCCGGAACUGUCAAGCUAGAGUGCAGGAGAGGAAGGUAGAAUUCCCGGUGUAGCGGUGAAAUGCGUAGAGAUCGGGAGGAAUACCAGUGGCGAAGGCGGCCUUCUGGACUGACACUGACACUGAGGUGCGAAAGCGUGGGUAGCAAACAGGAUUAGAUACCCUUGUAGUC